rnacentral:rRNA from 1 species
UACGUAGGGUGCGAGCGUUGUCCGGAAUUAUUGGGCGUAAAGAGCUCGUAGGCGGCUUGGCAAGUCGGGUGUGAAACCUCCAGGCUCAACCUGGAGACGCCACUCGAUACUGCUAUGGCUAGAGUCCGGUAGGGGACCACGGAAUUCCUGGUGUAGCGGUGAAAUGCGCAGAUAUCAGGAGGAACACCGGUGGCGAAGGCGGUGGUCUGGGCCGGCACUGACGCUGAGGAGCGAAAGCGUGGGUAGCAAACAGG